CCUACGGGGGGCUGCAGUGAGGAAUAUUGGUCAAUGGACGAGAGUCUGAACCAGCCAAGUAGCGUGAAGGAUGACUGCCCUAUGGGUUGUAAACUUCUUUUAUAAAGGAAUAAAACGAGGCACGUGUGCCUUUUUGCAUGUACUUUAUGAAUAAGGAUCGGCUAACUCCGUGCCAGCAGCCGCGGUAAUACGGAGGAUCCGAGCGUUGUCCGGAUUGAUUGGGUUUAAAGGGAGCGUAGAUGGGUUGUUAAGUCAGUUGUGAAAGUUUGCGGCUCAACCGUAAAAUUGCAAUUGAUACUGGCAGUCUUGAGUUCAGUUGAGGUAGGCGGAAUUCGUGGUGUAGCGGUGAAAUGCUUAGAUAUCACGAAGAACCCCGAUUGCGAAGGCAGCUUACUAAACUGUGACUGACAUUGAUGCUCGAAAGUGUGGGUAUCAAACAGGAUUAGAUACCCUUGUAGUC
rnacentral:rRNA from 1 species